UCACUAAGAGAUGGUCCCGCGGUGCAUNAGCUAGUUGGUAAGGUAAUGGUUUACCAAGGCGAUGAUGCAUAGCCGAGUUGAGAGACUGAUCGGCCACAAUGGGACUGAGACACGGCCCAUACUCCUACGGGAGGCAGCAGUAGGGAAUCUUCCACAAUGGGCGAAAGCCUGAUGGAGCAACGCCGCGUGUGUGAUGAAGGGUUUCGGCUCGUAAAACACUGUUGUAAGAGAAGAGUGACAUUGAGAGUAACUGUUCAAUGUGUGACGGUAUCUUACCAGAAAGGAACGGCUAAAUACGUGCCAGCAGCCGCGGUAAUACGUAUGUUCCAAGCGUUAUCCGGAUUUAUUGGGCGUAAAGCGAGCGCAGACGGUUAUUUAAGUCUGAAGUGAAAGCCCUCAGCUCAACUGAGGAAUUGCUUUGGAAACUGGAUGACUUGAGUGCAGUAGAGGAAAGUGGAACUCCAUGUGUAGCGGUGAAAUGCGUAGAUAU
rnacentral:rRNA from 1 species